rnacentral:rRNA from 1 species
GUCCACACAGUAAACGAUGAAUACUCGCUGUUUGCGAUAUACAGUAAGCGGCCAAGCGAAAGCGUUAAGUAUUCCACCUGGGGAGUACGCCGGCAACGGUGAAACUCAAAGGAAUUGACGGGGGCCCGCACAAGCGGAGGAACAUGUGGUUUAAUUCGAUGAUACGCGAGGAACCUUACCCGGGCUUGAAUUGCAACUGAAUGAUGUGGAGACAUGUCAGCCGCAAGGCAGUUGUGAAGGUGCUGCAUGGUUGUCGU